rfam:Hordeum vulgare subsp. vulgare, WGS project CAJW01000000 data, contig: morex_contig_2553310
UAUAAAUUUUCUCCGUCCGGAAAUACUUGUUCUAGAAAUAGAUAUAAUGGAUGUAUUUAUAACUAAAAUAAGUUUAGAUACAUUCAUCUCUAGGACAAGUAUUUUCGGACGAAGGGAGUACUGU